ACCAUAGUAGGAUUCGUAACUUCGCUUGCGGAUUGUUCUGGUUUAAAGAAGCGCUCAAUUCCAUAAUAUAAGACCGGAAGUUUUAAACAGCUAAAUCCUCAGAGGUGCGCUAUCAGUAGGAUGGGACAUGAGCUUUUUUCAGUUUAUCCUGAGAAAGUGACACAACGAUUUGACUACUAUGAGAUACAUACGUUUCUUGAUUUUGUUAUUACUAAAUGCCAUACAUGCUGCUAAAAGUCACUUGGAUCUGGCCUGGGCUAAAGGAUCCAUCAAGAACAGAUCAAGCCGGGAUGUUUCCUGCAGAGAGGGCAUGGAGUAUGAACAUGAUAACAUCUGCUGCCUGAACUGCCCUGCUGGAACAUAUGUGAAAAAGGCCUGUCUUACUCCUUCAGAAAAAGGAGUGUGUGAGCCGUGCGAGUUUGACAGAUACACUGAGCAUGACAAUGGACUGCGGAAGUGUUUAUCAUGCACCAAGUGCCGUAUAGAUCAGGAAACCACAGAGAAAUGCACAAAUACCCAGAACACACAGUGCAAGUGCAAACAGGGUUCAUUUUGUUUACCUGACCAAGCAUGUGAGGUGUGCAAGAAAUGCAGUAGGUAUGUUCUAAAUGUACCAUUUCAUUAACACUUAGGUUUUGGUCAAAAAAAGUGUCAUGUUAAUCAAGCUGGAUC